UCAGUAGCUGAGUGGAUAACGCGUUUGCGUUUGAAGCGGACAGUACUGCGUUCGAAUCCCAGAGUGA
rnacentral:tRNA from 1 species